AAUUUUGGACAAUGGGGGCAACCCUGAUCCAGCCAUCCCGCGUGUGCGCUGAGGGCCUUCGGGUUGUAAAGCACGUUUGGCAGGGAAGAAAAGGCUCUGGCUAAUACCUGGAGCUGCUGACGGUACCUGCUCAAUAAGCACCGGCUAACUACAGGCCCGCCGCCGCGGUAAUACGUAGGGUGCAAGCGGUAAUCGGAAUUACUGGGCGCAAAGCGUGCGCAGGCGGUUCGGCAAGAAGGAUGUGAAAUCCCAGGGCUUAACCUUGGAACUGCAUUCUUAACUGCCGGGCUAGAGUAUGUCAGAGGGGGGUAGAAUUCCGCGUGUAGCAGUGAAAUGCGUAGAGAUGCGGAGGAAUACCGAUGGCGAAGGCAGCCCCCUGGGAUAAUACUGACGCUCAUGCACGAAAGCGUGGGGAGAAAAC
rnacentral:rRNA from 1 species